GACGAACUCUGGCGGCGUGCUUAACACAUGCAAGUCGCACGAGUGGCGAACGGGUGAGUAAUGUAUGGGGAUCUGCCUGAUGUGCGGGGAUAACUACUGGAAACGGUAGCUAAUACCGCAUCUCAUCAGAUACCCCCCUAUGGGAUUUGCUAGUAGGUGAGGUAACGGCGCACCUAGGCGACGCGCCCGAGCUGGUCUGAGAGGAUGAUCAGCGACACGGGGACUGAGACACGGCCCAGACGCCUACGGGAGGCAGCAGUGGGGAAUAUUGCACAAGGGGCGAAAGACUGAUGCAGCCAUGCCGCGUGUAUGAAGAAGGCCUGCGGGGUGUAAAGUACUUUCAGUCGGGAGGCGUUACCGGCAGAAGAAGCACCGGCUAACGCCGUGCCAGCAGCCGCGGUAAUAC
rnacentral:rRNA from 1 species